rnacentral:rRNA from 1 species
AUGGCCAGCGCGGCGAACAAGGCUCCGGCGAGCGGUGGCGCCCGGCGCGUGCUGUUGUUUCCGCUGCCGUUCCAGGGCCACAUCAACCCGAUGCUGCAGCUCGCCGCCGUGCUGCACGCCCGGGGCCUCCGUGUCACCGUCUUCCACUCCGCGUUCAACGCCCCGGACCCCGCGCGCCGCCCCGCGGGCUACCGCUUCGUCACCGUCGGCGCCUCAGUGCCGAUCGCAGACCUCGUCCCCACCGGCAGCCACGGCACUUCGCCGAGGCGCUCCUUCGCAUCAACGAGCGUCUCGAGGCGCCUUUCGAGGACAGCCUCCGCCAGUUGCUCCUCGAGGAGGAGGGAGCGCCGGCAUGCCUGGUGGUAG